rnacentral:rRNA from 1 species
UACGAAGGGUGCUAGCGUUGUUCGGAAUCACUGGGCGUAAAGCGCGCGUAGGCGGCUUUCGAAGUCAGGGGUGAAAUCCUGAGGCUUAACCUCAGAAUUGCCUUUGAAACUGGAAAGCUAGAGUGUCGGAGGGGAUGGCGGAAUUCCUAAUGUAGAGGUGAAAUUCGUAGAUAUUAGGAGGAACACCGGUGGCGAAGGCGGCCAUCUGGACGACAACUGACGCUGAGGCGCGAAAGCGUGGGGAUCAAACAGG